UUACGGCCAUAUCACGUUGAAACACCGGUUCUCGUCCGAUCAUCGAAAUUAAGCUACGUUAAGCCUGGUCAGUACCUAGAUGAGUGAUCGCACGGAGAAAACAGGUUCUGU